rnacentral:rRNA from 1 species
GAUGAACGCUGGCGGCGUGCCUAAUACAUGCAAGUCGAGCGAACAGACGAGGAGCUUGCUCCUCUGACGUUAGCGGCGGACGGGUGAGUAACACGUGGAUAACCUCCCUAUAAGUCUGGUAUAACUUCGGGAAACCGGAGCUAAUCCCGGAUAAUCUAUUGAUCCGCAUGGUUCAAUAGUGAAAGACGGUUUUGCUGUCACUACUAGAUGGUUCCGCGCCGCAGUAGCUAGUUGGUAAGGUACCGGCAUACCAAGGCGAGGCGGCGUAGACGACCGGAGAGGGGGAUAGGCCGCACUGGAGGGGAGACGCCGUCAAGACUCCUACGAGAGGCAGCAGAAGGGAAUGGUCCGCAGUAGGCGGGAGCCUGGCAGAGUAACGCCGCGUGUGUGAUGAAAGUGUUGGGUUCGUAAAACUCUGUUAUGGGGGGAAAACAAAUGUGUAAGUUACUAAACACGUCGUGACGGUAACUGAUCAGGAAGCCACGGCUAACUACGUG